GACGAACGCUGGCGGCGUGGAUUAGGCAUGCAAGUCGAACGGUAUCAUCCUUUCGGGGGUGAGAGAGUGGCGAACUGGUGAGUAACACGUAGGUUAUCUACCCUCAAGACGGGACAACCCAGGGAAACUUGGGCUAAUACCGGAUGUGAGCAACUUUUAGUUGUUUGAAAGGUGGCGUAAGCUGUCGCUUGGGGAUGAGCCUGCGUCCUAUUAGUUAGUUGGUGAGGUAACGGCUCACCUAGGCAAUGAUAGGUAGGCGGCCUUAACGGGUGGUCGCCCACACUGGGAUUGAGAUACGGCCCAGACUCCUACGGGAGGCAGCAGUCGAGAAUAGUCUACAAUGGUCGGAAGACUGAUAGUGCGACGCCGCGUGAACGAUGAAUCCCUUCGGGGUGUAAAAGUUCUUUUAUAUGUGAGCAGUGCUUCUUAUAUUAACAGUAUGGGGAGAGAGAUAUUAGCAUAUGAAUAAGCAACGGCUAACUCCGUG
rnacentral:rRNA from 1 species